rnacentral:rRNA from 1 species
AACCCGGGGAACUGAAACAUCUAAGUACCCGGAGGAAAAGAAAUCAAACGAGAUGCCCACAGUAGCGGCGAGCGAAGAGGGCAGAGCCCAAACCUGUAAGCUACGGCUUAUGGGGGUUGAGGACUGACGUAAUUAAGGCCAGGCUUAGCUGAACUACCUGGGAAGGUAGGCUAUAUAAGGUAAGAGCCCUGUAAGCGAAAGGCAGAGCCUUAAGGUCAGUAUCCAGAGUACCACGGAGCACGAGGAAUUCUGUGGGAAGCAGGGGGGACCACCCUCCAAGGCUAAAGACUAACUGGCGACCGAUAGCGCAUAGUACCGUGAGGGAAAGGUGAAAAGAACCCCGGGAGGGGAGUGAAAUAGUACCUGAAACCGUAUGUCUACAAGCAGUCGGAGCGAAAGCGACGGCGUGCCUAUUGAAGAAUGAACCAACGAGUUAUCUGCACUAGCGAGGUUAAGUGGAAGACACGGAGCCGUAGCGAAAGCGAGUCUGAAAAGGGCGGCUAGUUAGUGUAGGUAGACCCGAAACCGCAGUGAUCUACCCAUGUCCAGGUUGAAGCGCAGGUAAAAAUGCGUGGAGGACCGAACCGGUGAGCGUUGAAAAGCUUUCGGAUGAGAUGUGGGUAGGGGUGAAAUUCCAAUCGAACGCGGAGAUAGCUGGUUCUCCCCGAAAUAGCUUUAGGGCUAGCCUCAGGUAGUAAGUAUAGGCGGUAGAGCACUGAUCGGGCUAGGGGCCAUAAAGGUUACCGAACCCUGUCAAACUCCGAAUGGAUAUACUGCAGAGCCUGGGAGUCAGACUACGAGUGAUAAGAUCCGUGGUCAAAAGGGAAACAGCCCAGACCACCGGCUAAGGUCCCAAAUGCCGUACUAAGUGGAAAAGGAUGUGGGGAUUCAUAAACAACCAGGAUGUUGGCUCAGAAGCAGCCACCAUUUAAAGAGUGCGUAAUAGCUCACUGGUCGAGAGUCCCUGCGCCGAAAAUUUCCGGGGCUAAAGUACGGAACCGAAGCCGUGGCUGUGUACUUAAGUGCACGGGGUAGGGGAGCGUUGCCACAGGGGUGAAGCUGGUCUGGAAGGACUGGUGGACUUGUGGGAAGUGAGAAUGUUGGUAUGAGUAGCGAAAAGAAAGGUGAGAAUCCUUUCCACCGAAAGCAUAAGGAUUCCUGAGCAACGAUCGUCGUCUCAGGGUAAGUCGGGACCUAAUCCGAGGCAAAGAGCGUAGGAGAUGGACAACAGGUUGAUAUUCCUGUACCGGCAGCAAUUGUUUGAGCGAAGGAGUGACACAGAAGGGCAGGCAGGCGCGAGACUGGAUUGUCGCGUGCAAGCGUGUAGGGUAGUGUACAGGCAAAUCCGUACACUGAAAGCCUGAGGCGUUACGCGGAGCGAGCAGAGAUGCGAGCGAAGCUGCUGAUCCCACACUGUCGAGAAAAGCUUCUAGUGAGAGAGCUGCCGCCCGUACCGUAAACCGACACAGGUAUGCGGGGAGAGAAUCCUAAGGUGCGCGGGAGAACCCUCGUUAAGGAACUCGGCAAAAUGUACCCGUAACUUCGGGAUAAGGGUAGCCGUCUUGGUGAAGGAGCAUGCCUCUGGAGCUGAAGGCGGUCGCAGAGAAGAGGCCCAAGCGACUGUUUACCACAAACACAGGUGCCUGCUAAAGCGAAAGCUGACGUAUAGGUGCUGACACCUGCCCAGUGCUGGAAGGUUAAGGAAGGAUGUCCGGGCAACCAAAGCAUUCGACCGAAGCCCCAGUGAACGGCGGCCGUAACUAUAACGGUCCUAAGGUAGCGAAAUUCCUUGUCGGGUAAGUUCCGACCCGCACGAAAGGUGUAACGAUUUGGGCACUGUCUCAACGAGGGACCCGGUGAAAUUGAAAUACCUGUGAAGAUGCAGGUUACCCGCGACUGGACAGAAAGACCCCAUGGAGCUUUACUGUAACCUGACAUUGGGUUUUGUUGUAUUACGUACAGGAUAGGUGGGAGGCUUAGAAGGCUGGACGCUAGUCUGGCUGGAGCCGACGUUGGGAUACCACCCUUGAUACAACGGAAUUCUAACCGAGAGAGUAACGAAAUCCGGGACAGUGUCAGGCGGGCAGUUUGACUGGGGCGGUCGCCUCCGAAAGAGUAAC